rnacentral:misc_RNA from 1 species
ACAAACUUGGUCAUUUAGAGGAAGUAAAAGUCGUAACAAGGUCUCCGUUGGUGAACCAGCGGAGGGAUCAUUACCGAGUCUACGCGCUCAAGCAACCCUUCUGUGGACCUGAACAAAAAACCGUUGCCUCGGCGGGCGGCCCCACCUCGCGGGCCGGACAGCCCGGCCGCCUCGGGGUUGUUCCUGGGGCGCGCCGGCGCCAGCCGCUGGCCCCAAGCAAAAACUAAACUCUCAGUAACUUUGCCUUCUGAGUUUUAACGCGAAAAAACAAGUCAAAACUUUCAACAACGGAUCUCUUGGCUCUGGCAUCGAUGAAGAACGCAGC